rnacentral:rRNA from 1 species
UACGUAGGGGGCAAGCGUUGUCCGGAUUUAUUGGGCGUAAAGAGCGUGUAGGCGGCCUGAAAGGUCAGCUGUGAAAACUCGAGGCUCAACCUCGAGACGUCGGUUGAAACCAUCUGGCUAGAGUCCGGAAGAGGAGAGUGGAAUUCCCGGUGUAGCGGUGAAAUGCGCAGAUAUCGGGAAGAACACCCGUGGCGAAGGCGGCUCUCUGGGACGGUACUGACGCUGAGACGCGAAAAGCGUGGGGGAGCGAACAGGG